rnacentral:tRNA from 1 species
UCCCUGGUGGCUCAGACAGUAAAGCAUCUGCCUGUAAUGUGGGAGACCUGGGUUCGAUUCCUGGAUCGGGAA